rnacentral:rRNA from 1 species
AGGUGGGAGGCUUUGAAACCAGGACGCCAGUUUUGGCGGAGCCAUCCUUGGGAUACCACCCUUGUAGUACUGGGACUCUAACCAUAGGCCAUGAAUCUGGUCUUGGGACACUGUCAGGUGGGCAGUUUGACUGGGGCGGUCGCCUCCCAAAAGGUAACGGAGGCGCUCAAAGGUUCUCUCAGUACGGUCGGAAAUCGUACGUAGAGUGUAAAGGCAAAAGAGAGCUUGAUUGCAAGACAUACAGGUCGAGCAAGGAUGAAAAUCGGACUUAGUGAUCCGGUGGUUCUGCGUGGAAGGGCCAUCGCUCAACGGAUAAAAGCUACCCUGGGGAUAACAGGCUUAUCUCCCCCAAGAGUCCACAUCGACGGGGAGGUUUGGCACCUCGAUGUCGGCUCAUCACAUCCUGGGGCUGUAGUAGGUCCCAAGGGUUGGGCUGUUCGCCCAUUAAAGUGGUACGCGAGCUGGGUUCAGAACGUCGUGAGACAGUUCGGUCCCUAUCCGUCGCAGGCGUAGGAAAUUUGAGAAGACCUGUCCUUAGUACGAGAGGACCGGGAUGGACGUACCUCUGGUGUACCAGUUGUUCUGCCAAGGGCAUGGCUGGGUAGCUAUGUACGGAAUGGAUAAGCGCUGAAAGCAUCUAAGCGCGAAGCCAACU